rnacentral:rRNA from 1 species
CCUACGGGAGGCAGCAGUGAGGAAUAUUGGUCAAUGGACGAGAGUCUGAACCAGCCAAGUAGCGUGAAGGAUGACUGCCCUCUGGGUUGUAAACUUCUUUUAUAUGGGAAUAAAAUGUUCCACGUGUGGGAUUUUGUAUGUCCCAUAUGAAUCAGGAUCCGCUAACUCCGUGCCAGCAGCCACGGUAAUACGGAGGUUCCGAGCGUUAUCCGGAUUUAUUGGGUUUAAAGGGAGCGUAGGUGGAACGGUAAGUCAGUUGUGAAAGUUUGCGGCUCAACCGUAAAAUUGCAGUUGAAACUGGCAGUCUUGAGUACAGUAGAGGUAGGCGGAAUUCGUGGUGUAGCGGUGAAAUGCGUAGAUAUCACGAAGAACUCCGAUGGCGAAGGCAGCUCACUGGACUGCAACUGACAUUGAGGCUCGAAAGUGUGGGUAUCAAACAGGAUUAGAUACCCUAGUAGUC